rnacentral:lncRNA from 1 species
AAGAGAAUCAACUCACUGUCAGUACUGAGAAGGGAUUUGGGUGUAGGGGCACCUGGCCUCCGGGAGCCAUUGGGCUGUAGACUGGUGUCGGUAUCCAUUUGGUGGUUGGUUUUUAACCCAAACUCAGUGCAUUUUUUAAAAAUAGUUUAAAACACAGGACAAGAACACUUGAACACACAGAACGGAGACUAUGCCUAGUGUAGGUUUUGCAGUUAAUGGCCUGAAUGCUAGUUAUCAGAUCACCUGUUUCCCUGUGGGGACAGGAGAGAAGGUGACGAACAAACCACCAUCCGCUGCAUGGUCACAGUAGAGCCCCCGUGACUCGCCUGUCUUUGGGUCACCUGCAUUCCAUAGCAUUGUGCUUGUACUUGUGCUCACAUGGUCACCUAGGGGUAGGCUGGGAGCCAUUGUGGGGUGCAGGGCCUGGCUUGUACUUGGUGUGUGGCCAGGCCCAAUGGCAGCCUACAUACCCAGCUUACUCUUGGGCCCACUUGGACGCACUGGCAGGAGGCCUGGGUCUCACCAGCAGGAGUGCGUGCAAGGUGGGAGGGUCGGUCCAUUACAGACCCACAUCCUGGAGCACCCCCAUCUCCAUGUGUGAAGUAGCUUCCUCCCUCAGCCUGCAAGGGUCCGAUUUGCCAUCGAAAGACGACCUCUACUUUUUUCUUUUGUAUUUUGAUAAACACUGAAGAAGCUGGAGCUGUUAAAUUUAUCUUGGGGAAAUCUCAGAACUGGUUUAUUUGGUGUCGUGGAACCUCUUACUGCUUUCAAUACACAAUUAGUAAUCAACUGUUUUGUAUACUUGUUUUCAGUUUUCAUUUCGACAAGCACUGUAAUUAUAGCUGUUAGAAUAAAG